UUGGAGGGCAAGUCUGGUGCCAGCAGCCGCGGUAAUUCCAGCUCCAAUAGCGUAUAUUAAAGUUGUUGCAGUUAAAAAGCUCGUAGUUGAAUUUCGGGGUUCUACCGUUGGUCGGGCUUUGUCUGUACUGGUGUGUAGAAUUUCUACCUUCUGGGGAACCAUCAUGCUAUUAAUUUAGCGUGGUGGGAAACCAGGACCUUUACCUUGAAAAAAUUAGUGUGUUCAAAGCAGGCUUAUGUCUGAAUACAUUAGCGUGGAAUAAUAGAAUAGGACGGUGGUCCUGUUUUGUUGGUUUCUGAAUCACCGUAAUGAUUAAUAGGGAUAGUUGGGGGCAUUAGUAUUCAAUUGUCAGAGGUGAAAUUCUUGGUUUUAUUGAGGACUAACUUCUGCGAAAGCAUUUGCCAAGGAUGUUUUCAUUAAUCAAGAACGAAAGUUAGGGGAUCGAAGACGAUCAGAUACCGUCGUAGUCUUAACCAUAAACUAUGCCGACUAGGGAUCGGACGAUGUUAAUUUUUCUUGACUCGUUCGGCGCCUUACGGGAAAC
rnacentral:rRNA from 1 species